GGAAGGGCCAUAGCUCAGUGGUAGAUCCUUUGCUUUAUAAGCGGAAGGUCCCAGGUUCAGUCCCUGGCAUUUCUA